AAUGGGGGCAACCCUGAUCCAGCCAUUCCGCGUGAGUGAAGAAGGCCUUCGGGUUGUAAAGCUCUUUCAGCAGGAACGAAACGGUGGUCCCUAAUACGGGCUACUAAUGACGGUACCUGAAGAAGAAGCACCGGCUAACUACGUGCCAGCAGCCGCGGUAAUACGUAGGGUGCGAGCGUUAAUCGGAAUUACUGGGCGUAAAGCGUGCGCAGGCGGUUAUAUAAGACAGAUGUGAAAUCCCCGGGCUUAACCUGGGAACUGCGUUUGUGACUGUAUAACUUGAGUGUGGCAGAGGGGGGUGGAAUUCCACGUGUAGCAGUGAAAUGCGUAGAGAUGUGGAGGAACACCGAUGGCGAAGGCAGCCCCCUGGGUCAACACUGACGCUCAUGCACGAAAGCGUGGGGAGCAAA
rnacentral:rRNA from 1 species